rnacentral:rRNA from 1 species
UGUUUGAUGUUCUAACGUUGGCCCCUGAUCGGGGUUGCGGACAGUGUCUGGUGGGUAGUUUGACUGGGGCGGUCUCCUCCUAAAGAGUAACGGAGGAGCACGAAGGUUGGCUAAUCCUGGUCGGACAUCAGGAGGUUAGUGCAAUGGCAUAAGCCAGCUUGACUGCGAGCGUGACGGCGCGAGCAGGUGCGAAAGCAGGUCAUAGUGAUCCGGUGGUUCUGAAUGGAAGGGCCAUCGCUCAACGGAUAAAAGGUACUCCGGGGAUAACAGGCUGAUACCGCCCAAGAGUUCAUAUCGACGGCGGUGUUUGGCACCUCGAUGUCGGCUCAUCACAUCCUGGGGCUGAAGUAGGUCCCAAGGGUAUGGCUGUUCGCCAUUUAAAGUGGUACGCGAGCUGGGUUUAGAACGUCGUGAGACAGUUCGGUCCCUAUCUGCCGUGGGCGCUGGAGAACUGAGGGGGGCUGCUCCUAGUACGAGAGGACCGGAGUGGACGCAUCACUGGUGUUCGGGUUGUCAUGCCAAUGGCACUGCCCGGUAGCUAAAUGCGGAAGAGAUAAGUGCUGAAAGCAUCUAAGCACGAAACUUGCCCCGAGAUGAGUUCUCCCUGAGACUUAGAGUCUCCUGAAGGAACGUUGAAGACGACGACGUUGAUAGGCCGGGUGUGUAAGCGCAGCGAUGCGUUGAGCUAACCGGUACUAAUGAACCGUGAGG